rnacentral:rRNA from 1 species
UUAGAGGAAGUAAAAGUCGUAACAAGGUUUCCGUAGGUGAACCUGCGGAAGGAUCAUUACUGAAAUGUAAUAACUUCUAUUGAAAGGUUCCAGAGUAGGCGCUACAACGCCGAAAUGACCUUCUCACCCUUGUGUACUCACUAUGUUGCUUUGGCGGGUCGACCUGGUUCCGACCCAGGCGGCCGGCGCCCCCAGCCUUAACUGGCCAGGACGCCCGGCUAAGUGCCCGCCAGUAUACAAAACUCAAGAAUUCAUUUUGUGAAGUCCUGAUAUAUCAUUUAAUUGAUUAAAACUUUCAACAACGGAUCUCUUGGUUCUGGCAUCGAUGAAGAACGCAGCGAAAUGCGAUAAGUAAUGUGAAUUGCAGAAUUCAGUGAAUCAUCGAAUCUUUGAACGCACAUUGCGCCCUCUGGUAUUCCGGAGGGCAUGCCUGUUCGAGCGUCAUUUCAACCCUCAAGCUCUGCUUGGUAUUGGGCAACGUCCGCUGCCGGACGUGCCUUGAAGACCUCGGCGACGGCGUCCUAGCCUCGAGCGUAGUAGUAAAAUAUCUCGCUUUGGAGUGCUGGGCGACGGCCGCCGGACAAUCGACCUUCGGUCUAUUUUUCCAAGGUUGACCUCGGAUCAGGUAGGGAUACCCGCUGAACUUAAGCAUAUCAUA